GACGAACGCUGGCGGCGUGCUUAACACAUGCAAGUCGAACGAAGAGCGACGGAAGCUUGCUUCUAUCAAUCUUAGUGGCGAACGGGUGAGUAACGCGUAAUCAACCUGCCCUUCAGAGGGGGACAACAGUUGGAAACGACUGCUAAUACCGCAUACGAUCUAACCUCGGCAUCGAGGAUAGAUGAAAGGUGGCCUCUACAUGUAAGCUAUCACUGAAGGAGGGGAUUGCGUCUGAUUAGCUAGUUGGAGGGGUAACGGCCCACCAAGGCGAUGAUCAGUAGCCGGUCUGAGAGGAUGAACGGCCACAUUGGGACUGAGACACGGCCCAGACUCCUACGGGAGGCAGCAGUGGGGAAUCUUCCGCAAUGGACGAAAGUCUGACGGAGCAACGCCGCGUGAGUGAUGACGGCCUUCGGGUUGUAAAGCUCUGUUAAUCGGGACGAAAGGCCUUCUUGCGAAUGGUGAGAAGGAUUGACGGUACCGGAAUAGAAAGCCACGGCUAACUACGUG
rnacentral:rRNA from 1 species